rnacentral:tRNA from 1 species
CAGAGUAUAGCUUAACUUAAAGUACUUCGCUUACACCGAAGCUAUAUUUGUGCAAACCAAAUUAUUCUGA